AGAUGGGACAAGGUAAUUUGAGAACACACAUGAGAACCUGGCACCUGGCAGGACUAAUAAAGAAGAGUUGCUUCCCUCCCUCACUUAAUGCUCUGAGUAAUACAACGGAGAACAGUGGCAGUUCAUUCCAGCCCAGGAGAGAAACAUUUUCUUCCAAUCCUGGUACACGUGUAACAGUGUUUUUGCUUGUUUGUCUGUCUGUUUGGAUUUAUUUUGUGAGCUUGAAUGUACAUUUUCUACUUGAUUAACUGUGCUUUGAUUCUUCUGCAGCUGGAAUGGGGAUUGUGCUGCCAUAAAACAUGACAAAAUCAGAAAAGAAGAAAACAAUGAACAAGCAAACAAACUCCGCUCGGGAUCUGAAAGGAGGCA
rnacentral:lncRNA from 1 species